rfam:Hordeum vulgare subsp. vulgare, WGS project CAJW01000000 data, contig: morex_contig_7378
AAUUUACUCCCUUCCGUCCAGAAAUACUUGUCAUAGGAAUAGAUGUAUCGACAUGUAUUUUAGUUCUAGAUACGUCCAUUUUUAUACAUUUGUGCAACAAGUAAUUCCGGACGGAGGGAGUAAUAU